UACCAGCACCCCGAGUGGUCGGGACGAUUAUUGGGCCUAAAGCAUCCGUAGCCGGUUCUACAAGUCUUCCGUUAAAUCCACCUGCUCAACAGAUGGGCUGCGGAGGAUACUAUAGAGCUAGGAGGCGGGAGAGGCAAGCGGUACUUAGUGGGUAGGGGUAAAAUCCGUUGAUCCAUUGAAGACCACCAGUGGCGAAGGCGGACUUGCCAGAACGCACUCGACGGUGAGGGA
rnacentral:rRNA from 1 species